rnacentral:hammerhead_ribozyme from 1 species
AUCCAUCUGAUGAGUCACAAAUAGGACGGAACGCUAGUCUUGGAU